rnacentral:rRNA from 1 species
UACGUAGGGUGCGAGCGUUAAUCGGAAUUACUGGGCGUAAAGCGUGCGCAGGCGGUUUUGUAAGCCAGAUGUGAAAGCCCCGGGCUUAACCUGGGAACUGCAUUUGUGACUGCAAGGCUGGAGUACGGCAGAGGGGGAUGGAAUUCCGCGUGUAGCAGUGAAAUGCGUAGAUAUGCGGAGGAACACCGAUGGCGAAGGCAAUCCCCUGGGCCUGUACUGACGCUCAUGCACGAAAGCGUGGGGAGCAAACAGG